AGCCUUUGUGCUGUCCAUUCACUUUUGGAAGCUUGCCGAUGUGGUGUCAAAAAAGCUGCAAAUUAAACUCUUUGCUGCCAUUUUCUGCCCUUGAAUUUGGUGUCUUUGGUGUUGGGGCUGCAUCAGAUACAGCU
ensembl:snoRNA small nucleolar RNA SNORA13